GUGAGGAAUAUUGGACAAUGGAUGGAAAUCUGAUCCAGCCAUGCCGCGUGCAGGAAGACGGCCCUAUGGGUUGUAAACUGCUUUUAUACGGGAGCAAUAAGGUCUAUGCAUAGAUUGAUGAGAGUACCGUAUGAAUAAGCAUCGGCUAACUCCGUGCCAGCAGCCGCGGUAAUACGGAGGAUGCGAGCGUUAUCCGGAUUUAUUGGGUUUAAAGGGUGCGUAGGCGGCUUUGUAAGUCAGCGGUGAAAUUUUGCAGCUUAACUGUAAAAGCGCCGUUGAUACUGUGAAGCUAGGAUUUGGUUGCUGUGGGCGGAAUGUGUGGUGUAGCGGUGAAAUGCAUAGAGAUCACACAGAAUAUCGAUUGCGAAGGCAGCUCACAAAGCCAAUAUUGACGCUGAGGCACGAAAGUGUGGGGAUCAAACAGGAUUAGAAACCCCGGUAGUCC
rnacentral:rRNA from 1 species